GAGCCCUGCAGCCUCAGGCAGAUUUUCUCUGAAUUUUUAGGAAGAGGUGAAAAAAAACCCUCACAGGGGCGCAGCCUGAAGAAGGAGAUCCAUGGUUAUAUAAGUCGGAGCACAGCAAGCUUUCUUCAGUUCUGCCUUGUACAUGCAGGGAUUGAAUUUUUUUUUUGUCUUGUAAGUUACAAAACGUGUUUGUGUGAGAUUUUAUGCUUUUGUCCUUCAUCACAACUCUGAAAGUAAAGGAGCGGAUCCAUCUGUCUGUAAAAAACAAAGCAAAAAAACAGGCAUCAUGGAAACUGACGGGAGUGAAGCACUGAAUAAAAAACACCAUGGCACGGUGCAAACCCAGCCCCGGAAACACAAGACAUCAAAGAGCGCCCAUGUAGGAAGCUGCUGUCUUAAGUGCUGCGCAAAGAGUGUGAGCGAGGAGUGCUGCAGCUCAUUUCUCAAUUGUAUCUUAAGUUGUUUGUGUGACAAUGACGACACAAACUAACCUCGGAUAGCGGGACCAGUUUUUCCAGGCUGGAUUUGUUCUCAGCAUCCUUCAACACUCUUCCUGAUAGUCUGGUUUUCCUCUUAUCUGACAUAUAAUCACUUUAAGUCAUUUUGUUCUUUUUUUUUUUUUUAUAAUCAAAUUCACUGUCUGUAUAAAAAACUAACUAGAAAGAUGCAGUGGAAAUCUGGAAAUAAAAUCUGAACACAAACUUGUCUUUUAGAAAUCUAUUAUACCUCCUUCAGGAGAGACCAGCCAGCAGAGAAUCUGCUGCUAACUGAUGAAGAUCUGAUCUCUUUUACGAUUGUUUUAUAUCCAGUCAGUCACACACAAAGAAAACCCACUACCUGUUACCUUUAUUAUCUGUCAAAACACUUGUGACUCUUGCACUGUAGGUUACAAAAGGUUAUCCCCUUCAUAUACAUGAACAAACUAAAAAGAACAUAGCUACUUGUGAUGUGUUUUAUUUCCAGUUCAUGCUUCUUCAGGCAGUUCAGAACUUGAUGAAUAACAUUUGCAGUUUCAUCACUAUCUUCAUAAAAGUCAAGUAACUUGCACCGCACUCUAUCAGAAACAGAAAAAUAUCUCAUGCACACAGGAAACAUUUUUGUUUCCCUUGUUUGAGCCGUUGGUGGCACAGGCUCACCUUCAGAUAGAUCAUUCAGGAUAUAUUGCAAAGUCUUUGAAUGUUCUGUUACAUUCCUUCACUUUAAGGCACUUUGAACUGUGUCCGUGUUGGAAA